rnacentral:rRNA from 1 species
UACGAAGGGGGCUAGCGUUGUUCGGAAUUACUGGGCGUAAAGAGCGCGCAGGCGGUCGGAUCAGUCGAAUGUGAAAGCCCCCGGCUCAACUGGGGAGGGUCAUUCGAUACUGUUCGACUCGAAGGCAGGAGAGGGAAGCGGAAUUCCCGGUGUAGUGGUGAAAUGCGUAGAUAUCGGGAGGAACACCAGUGGCGAAGGCGGCUUUCUGGCCUGUUCUUGACGCUGAGGCGCGAAAGCUAGGGGAGCGAACGGG